UAGCUCAGCUGGGAGAGCGCCUGCUUUGCACGCAGGAGGUCAGCGGUUCGAUCCCGCUAGGCUCCACCA
rnacentral:tRNA from 1 species